rnacentral:rRNA from 1 species
ACGGGAGGCAGCAGUGGGGAAUAUUGCACAAUGGGGGGAACCCUGAUGCAGCGACGCCGCGUGAGCGAAGAAGUAUUUCGGUAUGUAAAGCUCUAUCAGCAGGGAAGAAAAUGACGGUACCUGACUAAGAAGCCCCGGCUAACUACGUGCCAGCAGCCGCGGUAAUACGUAGGGGGCAAGCGUUAUCCGGAUUUACUGGGUGUAAAGGGAGCGUAGACGGAGCAGCAAGUCUGAUGUGAAAACCCGGGGCUCAACCCCGGGACUGCAUUGGAAACUGUUGAUCUGGAGUGCCGGAGAGGUAAGCGGAAUUCCUAGUGUAGCGGUGAAAUGCGUAGAUAUUAGGAGGAACACCAGUGGCGAAGGCGGCUUACUGGACGGUAACUGACGUUGAGGCUCGAAAGCGUGGGGAGCAAACAGGAUUAGAUACCCUGGUAGUCCACGCCGUAAACGAUGACUACUAGGUGUCGGGUGGCAAAGCCAUUCGGUGCC